rnacentral:rRNA from 1 species
GAGUGGCGAACUGGUGAGUAACACGUGGGAAACCUGCCCAGAAGCGGGGGAUAACACCUGGAAACAGAUGCUAAUACCGCAUAACAACUUGGACCGCAUGGUCCGAGUUUGAAAGAUGGCUUCGGCUAUCACUUUUGGAUGGUCCCGCGGCGUAUUAGCUAGAUGGUGAGGUAACGGCUCACCAUGGCAAUGAUACGUAGCCGACCUGAGAGGGUAAUCGGCCACAUUGGGACUGAGACACGGCCCAAACUCCUACGGGAGGCAGCAGUAGGGAAUCUUCCACAAUGGACGAAAGUCUGAUGGAGCAACGCCGCGUGAGUGAAGAAGGGUUUCGGCUCGUAAAACUCUGUUGUUAAAGAAGAACAUAUCUGAGAGUAACUGUUCAGGUAUUGACGGUAUUUAACCAGAAAGCCACGGCUAACUACGUGCCAGCAGCCGCGGUAAUACGUAGGUGGCAAGCGUUGUCCGGAUUUAUUGGGCGUAAAGCGAGCGCAGGCGGUUUUUUAAGUCUGAUGUGAAAGCCUUCGGCUCAACCGAAGAAGUGCAUCGGAAACUGGGAAACUUGAGUGCAGAAGAGGACAGUGGAACUCCCAUGUGUAGCGGUGAAAUGCGUAGAUAUAUGGAAGAACACCAGUGGCGAACGCGGCUGUCUGGUCUGUAACUGACGCUGAGGCUCGAAAGUAUGGGUAGCAAACAGGAUUAGAUACCCUGGUAGUCCAUACCGUAAACGAUGAAUGCUAAGUGUUGGAGGGUUUCCGCCCUUCAGUGCUGCAGCUAACGCAUUAAGCAUUCCGCCUGGGGAGUACGGCCGCAAGGCUGAAACUCAAAGGAAUUGACGGGGGCCCGCACAAGCGGUGGAGCAUGUGGUUUAAUUCGAAGCUACGCGAAGAACCUUACCAGGUCUUGACAUACUAUGCAAAUCUAAGAGAUUAGACGUUCCCUUCGGGGACAUGGAUACAGGUGGUGCAUGGUUGUCGUCAGCUCGUGUCGUGAGAUGUUGGGUUAAGUCCCGCAACGAGCGCAACCCUUAUUAUCAGUUGCCAGCAUUAAGUUGGGCACUCUGGUGAGACUGCCGGUGACAAACCGGAGGAAGGUGGGGAUGACGUCAAAUCAUCAUGCCCCUUAUGACCUGGGCUACACACGUGCUACAAUGGAUGGUACAACGAGUUGCGAACUCGCGAGAGUAAGCUAAUCUCUUAAAGCCAUUCUCAGUUCGGAUUGUAGGCUGCAACUCGCCUACAUGAAGUCGGAAUCGCUAGUAAUCGCGGAUCAGCAUGCCGCGGUGAAUACGUUCCCGGGCCUUGUACACACCGCCCGUCACACCAUGAGAGUUUGUAACACCCAAAGUCGGUGGGGUAACCUUUUAGGAACCAGCCGCCUAAGG